rnacentral:rRNA from 1 species
GACGAACGCUGGCGGCGUGCCUAAUACAUGCAAGUAGAACGCUGAAGGAGGAGCUUGCUUCUCGGAUGAGUUGCGAACGGGUGAGUAACGCGUAGGUAACCUGCCUGGUAGCGGGGGAUAACUAUUGGAAACGAUAGCUAAUACCGCAUAACAGUAGAUGUUGCAUGACAUUUGCUUAAAAGGUGCAAUUGCAUCACUACCAGAUGGACCUGCGUUGUAUUAGCUAGUUGGUGGGGUAACGGCUCACCAAGGCGACGAUACAUAGCCGACCUGAGAGGGUGAUCGGCCACACUGGGACUGAGACACGGCCCAGACUCCUACGGGAGGCAGCAGUAGGGAAUCUUCGGCAAUGGACGGAAGUCUGACCGAGCAACGCCGCGUGAGUGAAGAAGGUUUUCGGAUCGUAAAGCUCUGUUGUAAGAGAAGAAACGAGUGUGAGAAGUGGAAAAGUUUCAACAACUG